UUGCAAUCAUCAAAUAAUUUCUUGUUCUUCCGUAGAAAAUCAGGUGCAUCAAUACUCCUCAUUGCCGGUGUACGAAUCAAAGCUUUCGCCAUAUUCAUAUGACAUUUUUCACCCAUUUUCAUAAGAUUUUCACAGCAUUGUCUAUUUACGCUCCCUACAUCAGUAAAUAACUUGGCAACUAUUUGUUCUCCACAAUCAGAGCCAAUUUUUUGUACGCACUUAGCUAGAAAUUUAGAGUCUUCAGGUUGAGUAACACGAUCACACUUCUCGUAAAUAUGAUCACUCUUGGAAAGAUACUCAAUCCGAUCUGCAUUUCUUAACACUGGAUCAGUUUCCAAAAAAAAUACGGCCAUUUUGACGUGACAAGAAUAACCCAUUUGAAUAACCUUAUAGCAAC
rnacentral:lncRNA from 1 species